UUCAUUCACUCCCCGGCGGCGUGUGACGUGUGUGCUAAUGCCGAGCUAUUUAUUAGCCGUAUUUAUUUCUUUGGGGGGUGCCAAGUGUUGGCCAAAUUCAUUAGACGAGCUCCAAUAUCUCGGGGAGUGCUGAUGGAACGUCACGCGAUUUUAUUAACGCACUUAAGCGAUCCCAACUGAUCCCAGAGACGUGCGCAAUUUCGCCGAAUAUGUGAAAGUCAGCGGAUGUUUUAACCGCACAACGUUGUAAAUAAUUAAAAAUUCCAUCAAAUCGAGCUGAGACGAGGCGAAAAACAUCAAUAUCAGUGGGAAUGGCGUAAUAUUUGCUCAUUGCAAAAUCAAUUAACAAUUUCAGGCAAAUUGAUAUUAACGAGUUCUCGAAAUAACAACUCAAAUAAAAAUCCAAGCGAACUGCAGCCGCACAAUAUGGACACUCCAAACUGGAAAAACACGGGACGCAAGGCGAGGAGCUGGUACAAAUAUCGAUGGCAGAAGGCAGAGCCUGGAGGGAGCAAAGUCACGCAAGUCCAUAACCAUAGGCAAAUACGUACACAAAUUCCAGCGAGGCGACGCUGCUCGAGGCAGUAAUGGAAACAAACCCCGUUAAUAAUAGCUAAAAUGUUUUUAAUUAAGUGCAAAUGCCAGAUUAACGAUUACAAGAAAAACACGUUCCAUUAAAGCCAACGCAAGCACACACGAAUAAUAAUGACACAUGGCCAGAUUUGACACGAAAUUGACUUUGCUGCGACUCCGUCUCCGCCUUGGAUUCCGAAUCGGAAUUCGAGUUGGAAGUGUGAUUUUGCAUUCGAGCGGAGACGGGCUAAGUGAACUGCGCCGCCGUCCGGGAAUCGUGACAAGAUGAUGCUAAUCCGAUAGCAAUCGGAAUCGCUCUCCGGAUCGUGUUGUAAUUGUUGACGCCGAACGAACUUGAUUUGAUUAACGUUUCUUCUCAAUCUUCCCCCAGCCACGACCACGGGGGAAAUGGAGCCGGGACAGAGCAUCCAACUGGAAUAUCGGGUUGUAUGUAGAAUAGCACAGAUAGAUAGGUGAUGAUUAGCUGGAAUUAUACCCCCAACUUGUGUACCCAUUCAAUCAUACAGAAAUUAAGGGGAAACAUCUAGCAGUUUGCUUUAAAAACAAGAAAAUGUAAAGCGAGCAAGAUAAAAUCAAUACUUUUAGAUUUGAGAAAUCUAGAACAAUUGUUAAUAAUCUCUCCUUGACUAAUAAAAUUUAUUCAUUCAAACUAA